rnacentral:Y_RNA from 1 species
GGUUGGUCUGAAGAUAGUGAGUUAUCUCAAUGGAUUGUUCACAAUUACAGAUGGAACUCCUCAUUCUCUUUCCUCCUGCCUUCUCCCUACUGCACUUGAAUAGUCUUUA